AAAGGUGCCAAAAUGGAAGCCGAAAAUAAUGCCUUUUGAAGACGAUCAAGGAAAUGCUGAACCUGGUGAAGCAAUUCCACGCAUUGUGCAAGAACAUAUCAAUCAGGAUGCUUGCCAGCAAUUGCCACCAUUGCUGGCAAGCGCGAGAGUAACCAGUGAUACCUGGGUUACAUUUGUGCUCAUCUGGAAGUGAACCGUUCAAUCAUUGGCAGCUCCUGCCCUCACCGCCAGCCU